AUAAUGGGUCAGCGACUUAUAUUCUGUAGCAAGGUUAACCGAAUAGGGGAGCCGAAGGGAAACCGAGUCUUAACUGGGCGUUAAGUUGCAGGGUAUAGACCCGAAACCCGGUGAUCUAGCCAUGGGCAGGUUGAAGGUUGGGUAACACUAACUGGAGGACCGAACCGACUAAUGUUGAAAAAUUAGCGGAUGACUUGUGGCUGGGGGUGAAAGGCCAAUCAAACCGGGAGAUAGCUGGUUCUCCCCGAAAGCUAUUUAGGUAGCGCCUCGUGAAUUCAUCUCCGGGGGUAGAGCACUGUUUCGGCAAGGGGGUCAUCCCGACUUACCAACCCGAUGCAAACUGCGAAUACCGGAGAAUGUUAUCACGGGAGACACACGGCGGGUGCUAACGUCCGUCGUGAAGAGGGAAACAACCCAGACCGCCAGCUAAGGUCCCAAAGUCAUGGUUAAGUGGGAAACGAUGUGGGAAGGCCCAGACAGCCAGGAUGUUGGCUUAGAAGCAGCCAUCAUUUAAAGAAAGCGUAAUAGCUCACUGGUCGAGUCGGCCUGCGCGGAAGAUGUAACGGGGCUAAACCAUGCACCGAAGCUGCGGCAGCGACGCUGAUGCGUUGUUGGGUAGGGGAGCGUUCUGUAAGCCUGUGAAGGUGUGCUGUGAGGCAUGCUGGAGGUAUCAGAAGUGCGAAUGCUGACAUAAGUAACGAUAAAGCGGGUGAAAAGCCCGCUCGCCGGAAGACCAAGGGUUCCUGUCCAACGUUAAUCGGGGCAGGGUGAGUCGACCCCUAAGGCGAGGCCGAAAGGCGUAGUCGAUGGGAAACAGGUUAAUAUUCCUGUACUUGGUGUUACUGCGAAGGGGGGACGGAGAAGGCUAUGUUGGCCGGGCGACGGUUGUCCCGGUUUAAGCGUGUAGGCUGGUUUUCCAGGCAAAUCCGGAAAAUCAAGGCUGAGGCGUGAUGACGAGGCACUACGGUGCUGAAGCAACAAAUGCCCUGCUUCCAGGAAAAGCCUCUAAGCAUCAGGUAACAUCAAAUCGUACCCCAAACCGACACAGGUGGUCAGGUAGAGAAUACCAAGGCGCUUGAGAGAACUCGGGUGAAGGAACUAGGCAAAAUGGUGCCGUAACUUCGGGAGAAGGCACGCUGAUAUGUAGGUGAAGUCCCUCGCGGAUGGAGCUGAAAUCAGUCGAAGAUACCAGCUGGCUGCAACUGUUUAUUAAAAACACAGCACUGUGCAAACACGAAAGUGGACGUAUACGGUGUGACGCCUGCCCGGUGCCGGAAGGUUAAUUGAUGGGGUCAGCGCAAGCGAAGCUCUUGAUCGAAGCCCCGGUAAACGGCGGCCGUAACUAUAACGGUCCUAAGGUAGCGAAAUUCCUUGUCGGGUAAGUUCCGACCUGCACGAAUGGCGUAAUGAUGGCCAGGCUGUCUCCACCCGAGACUCAGUGAAAUUGAACUCGCUGUGAAGAUGCAGUGUACCCGCGGCAAGACGGAAAGACCCCGUGAACCUUUACUAUAGCUUGACACUGAACAUUGAGCCUUGAUGUGUAGGAUAGGUGGGAGGCUUUGAAGUGUGGACGCCAGUCUGCAUGGAGCCGGCCUUGAAAUACCACCCUUUAAUGUUUGAUGUUCUAACGUUGACCCGUGAUCCGGGUUGCGGACAGUGUCUGGUGGGUAGUUUGACUGGGGCGGUCUCCUCCUAAAGAGUAACGGAGGAGCACGAAGGUUGGCUAAUCCUGGUCGGACAUCAGGAGGUUAGUGCAAUGGCAUAAGCCAGCUUGACUGCGAGCGUGACGGCGCGAGCAGGUGCGAAAGCAGGUCAUAGUGAUCCGGUGGUUCUGAAUGGAAGGGCCAUCGCUCAACGGAUAAAAGGUACUCCGGGGAUAACAGG
rnacentral:rRNA from 1 species